UCGUCUAUAUACGUAUAGCAUAUCAAUAAGCGGAGGAAAAGAAACUAACUAGGAUUCCCUCAGUAACGGCGAGUGAAGCGGGAAGAGCUCAAAUUUGAAAUCUUCAAGGUUCUACCUUGACGAAUUGUAGUUUAAAGAAGUGUUUCCUGUUGGAGUUUCGGUAAAAGUUCUUUGGAAUAGGACAUCAUAGAGGGUGAGAAUCCCGUAUUUGACCGUUACUUUCCAGCUGUGUGAUACACUUUCAAAGAGUUGGAUUGUUUGGGAAUGCAGUCCAAAAUGGGUGGUAAAUUUCAUCUAAAGCUAAAUAUUGGCGAGAGACCGAUAGCGAACAAGUACCGUGAGGGAAAGAUGAAAAGAACUUUGAAAAGAGAGUUAAACAGUACGUGAAAUUGUCAAAAGGGAAGCGUUUGACACCAGUGUUGUUUAGUUGAAAAUCAAUUCAAUAAUUUUUGAUUUUAAGUAGUAUUGACUUCAUCAGCUUGCUGCUUUCUUUUCAGGAAUUAUUGAAUGCACUUUACAGUUAACAAGUCAACAUCAAUUUCUUUUGUUGUAAAAGGGUAAGAGGAAGGUGGCUUACGCUUCGGCGUAAGUGUUUAUAGCCUUUUACCUCUGCAAUCGGAGAGAUUGAGGUCUGCAGCGUAGAUCCUUCGGGGUUAGAUACACUUGUGCUAGGCUAUAGCCUUGUAUAGACAACUUGUUGACUAUGCUCAGUCAUGUAGCUUACUCGCUUGUGCUAUUUUACCUACGCUUAGGAUGUUGACACACGCGCGUGCUCG
rnacentral:rRNA from 1 species